rnacentral:tRNA from 1 species
GGAACAGUAGCAAUCCCGAUAGCUAUCGGGAGGUCAAUGCGCCGGAUUGAAGAUCCGAAGAUACAGGUUCGAAUCCUGUCUGUUUCA